rnacentral:rRNA from 1 species
GACGAACGCUGGCGGCGUGCUUAACACAUGCAAGUCGUACGGUAAGGCCCUUUCGGGGGUCCACGAGUGGCGAACGGGUGCGUAACACGUGAGUAACCUGCCCACAACUUUUGGAUAACGCUAGGAAACUGGUGCUAAUACUGGAUAUGUGCUCCUGCUCCAUGGUGGGGGUUGGAAAGCUCCGGCGGUUGGGGAUGGACUCGCGGCCUAUCAGCUUGUUGGUGGGGUAGUGGCCUACCAAGGCGGCGACGGGUAGCCGGCCUGAGAGGGUGACCGGCGACAUUGGGACUGAGAUACGGCCCAGACUCCGACGGGAGGCAGCAGUGGGGAAUAUUGAACAAUGGGCGCAAGCCUGAUGAAGCAACGCCGCGUGCGGGAUGACGGUCUUCGGGUUGUAAACCGCUUUCAGCAGGGACGAAGCUUUUUGUGACGGUACCUGAAGAAGAAGCACCGGCUAACUACGUG